UGAGAAGUGAGAACAGGGAACAUUGGAAAUAUGAGUCUGUUGGUAAACGUAUUCAUUUAUUGAAAAUGGAAAAAAUCGAAAGAGGAAAAUGAAAAAACUAAAGUACCUUGUUUCCAUUCGGCAGUUUACAGCCCACGGAUUUCUGUUCAUUAAUUGUGUGGGUGCAGGUUACUUGUCUGUGGAUGUGUGCAGCUACCCCGAAAAAAAUCAAGUGUUGACUUAAGAUUGGUAAUAGAUAACAGGAUUAUCCCCGAAGUUGUUUUCUUCAAAAAAUCUUUCUCUAUCUGAUUCAGUAUUAGAUUUUCUAUUACUUGCAACUAAUGAAAUCUGGAAAAAACUUAUUCAAUGCUUUGACUUAGACUAGCAUGUCGAUGCAUUAAAUGCUUUGACCCAAUUCAUGCUUUUUUUCUUUUCUGUUGUUCUAUAUAUUUCUCAGUUCCUUGACGAUUGACCUUGCAUAAAACUUCAGGUUCUAGUUUGCAUCCUUCCAUGGGUCGCAAUAAGUGUGUGAUGGAGAAAAUUGAAGAUCCAACAUCCCGUCAACGGACCUACUCAAAGUGCAAAGAUAGUUUUGUUAAGAAGGCAAAAGCGUUGGCUACUUUAUGUGACACAGAUGUUGCUUUUUUAAUGUUUUCUCCAACCGGUCAAGUGACCAGCUAUUCUAGCAGAGGAAGUGUUGAGGAUGUCAUGCUCCGUAUUGUGAACAAUCCUGUACUGAACAGGGGACCCAUUUCAAAUGAACAGCAUCUGAGGCAGAGUCUCACACAAGUCAAAAUAUGAAGGACAAAUGGUUGAAAAGAUUGCUGUGUAUGCCACUCUCCUUUUGCACUCCUUUUAUAUGUAUUAAUCUAUUAGUUCAUCAGAAUGCAUACGUGACUACUCUCUUUGAUUUCCUUUUUCCCUUUUCUGCUUGAUAUUUUUCUACGUGAUUAAAAAUAUUUGUCUUUUUGCUGGGUGUUUUACUAUGCUGAUUAAUGGUACGUACUUCAGUGUUGAGGCUCAUGAGGCUGAGCUUAUGAAGCUCAAUCAACGAGUACGUGAAGCACAAGAGAAAAUAAGGUAUUAUGAACCACAAGUGGAGAAUAUCAGCUCAGUCCAAGAAGCUGAUGCAUACCAGAAGUUCCUUACGAGUGCUAUGGAACAGAUACAGCGAUCACAAGAAAGACUCUUGGGCUGCGAAGGAUUUGUCCAGGGAAUUGAAAAUGUCGUGGUGGCUUCUGUCAACACAGUGGAUACGACUUAUGCUGCAGGAACCAGUACGGGUUACAUGUUGUGAGGAUACAGACUGGAUCACGACCGAGCAUUAGCUUCUGGGGUCGAACAGUUGCAGCAGGAACUAUAAUAUACUAGUCCUUGCGUUAAGAACUUCGUAGAAAGAUAUGCCUCCAAGAGAAUUUAAUGUUCAAGUUAGCACCACUGUCCUAACUGGGGAUAAUGUACUUCUGAAGUCCAGACUCGGUCAAGGGUCGUUGCAUUUGACUAUCCUCAUAGGGUUUCACCUGUCCCCACUAAUCCUACUUUUGAGAGUGAUACUCAUACUCACUCAUCUCAAGGGGAGGCGACUAAUUCUGAGUUUCGUCACUCCAUUACUCUGUUGACCUAGUUGGUUGCUUCUCAGUUCGAGCGUGGUGUUCCUAUCACUUUAUUUUUUGAGGCCAUAAGAAUUGGCCAGUUCAUGAGAUUGCAUCCUCCUAUGUUUACGGGUACUAAGGUUGAGGAGGAUCCUCGAGAUUUUAUUGAUGAAAUGGAGAAGAUUCUCUGUAUUAUGCAUGCUUCAUAGGUUUAAAGUGUUGAGUUUGCUGCCUAUCAAUUGAAAGAUGUGGCGUACCAGUGGUAUGAAGAGUGGGAAAAAUCGAGGGGUGAAGAUGCUAGUUUCUUCUUGUGGGAGGAUUUUUGUAGUGCUUUUUUGGACCGCUUCUUUUCUCAGGAGUUAAGGAAAAAAAAGUGGAAGAGAUUAAGAAUUUGAGGCAGGGUAGGAUGUCUGUUAAGGAGUAUGCAUUGAAAUUUCAUUAGUUGUCUAGGUAUGCUUCUGAGUUGGUUUCUAGCAUGAGGGCUAGAAUGCGUAAGUCUGUUAGGAGUUGUCUCGUGAGUUGAUCCUCAAUAUUAAGGCUUCUUUGUUGAUAAAAUACAUGGACAUCUCAAGAUUGGUUGUGUACAUGUAACAAGUGGAGGAAGAAAAGAAGAAAUAGGUUGAGUUUAGUGUGAGGCAAGGAAAAAAAUUUAGGCCUUCAAAGAAAGGUGGUAAAAAUGGUGGUAAGUGGCCAAAGAAGAAGUGAGGGAGUUCUAGUUCUUUCUCUAUGGCUAGUGCUCCUUACUCAAAGUCGUCGGGUGAUCGUCGGUCUCAGUAUCAUGGUGGUUCUAGGAACAAGGUGCCUAAUCUCAGGCUAGUGAGGCUCAGUCGGCUCCAUCCCACCCUUCUUAUAGAUUUUAUGGGCGGUCUCACCGUGGUAUAUAUUCGGAAGGGAAGAAACAAGUAUUUUUAUCAUGGUCAGAUUGGUCAUAUACAGUGUGACUAUCGUGUUUGGAUGACUUCUAGGGCAAACAAGGUUUCGGUUGCCUCUUCAUCUGCUCCUGCACCAAAUGGUGCCAUUUUUGCAUCUUCUUCUUCUUCUGGUACCAACACUGGCCGUGAUUAUAUGCUCUUGCAUCUCUCUAUGAUUCUGAGGCAUCUCCCGAUGUAGUGACUGUUAUAUUAAAACUUUUUUCCUAUGAUGUGUAUUAUUCACUUGAUCUAGGGUCCACUCUUUCUUAUGUGACCCCAUUUGUGGCCGUGUAUUUUGGUUUUGGUCCUGAGUGUCUCUCAGUUUUUUUUUCUGUUUCUACCCUGGUAAGAGACUGUAUAGUUGUUAAAAAAGUCUAUAAGGGGUGUGUGGUAGCUGUUGGUAGUAGAGAAAC